GACUCGGAUAUUUCACUGUACGCUUAUACUUCACGACUUGGAUAUUUCACUGUAUGCUUAUACUUCACAAGUCGGUUAUUCCCCACUGUAGGAUUCCACUUGAUACACACUCAAGCGUAGUUAGAUGUAUGUCUGUGCUUGUAUAGAUGCAUAUAAAUAAUGAUUGAAGGACUUAGGAAGGCUUGUCCUCCCUAUUUCCUUUUCUUCGUUGAGAUGUGGUCUGGUGGGAUCGGAUGUCCAUCCGAAGGUCGUUUGAUUCAUUAGUUAUAUAUUAUGUACACAAGCAUAGACUUAUGGGUUUACUUCAGUUAAUUCAGUUAUGAGCCUCUACCUCUAGUUCAACACUUACAUUAGAAACCCACUAUUUGGAAGUCUCUACCCACUAUUUGGGAUGCAUCUUCAGGACACGGCCUUCUCUGUCGUCUAGUUGGUAACCAGAGUCUCCUGUAGGGAGAGCGGACAUUGUGUGUAUAGAUCUAUACGGGAUUGACACCCCCGCACCCUGACUGCUAGGUAUAGUCCACAACCUACCAAGCCAAGGGGUGACAAAUGUCACAUUUUAUAGACGCUUGUAGGGCGUCUGGAACUAUUGUCAGUAUGGUUACGAGUAUCCCGGGUUACCUUAUAAUUUAUGGCCUUAAGGUAACGGUAUUUCGCCAGCAAUUUACACUAUCUGCUGGUAAUUCAUUUUCAGAGUCACACUGUUUUGACCUUACAAGACGUAUCUUUUGCUUGAUACUGUUUGGGGUCGGUAUUCACUGUUUUGACCUUACAAGACGUAUCUUUCAUUUG
rnacentral:lncRNA from 1 species